rnacentral:rRNA from 1 species
GGUUAAGUUAGAAAGGGCGCACGGUGGAUGCCUUGACACUAGGAGUCGAUGAAGGACGGGACUAACGCCGAUAUGCUUCGGGGAGCUGUAAGUAAGCUUUGAUCCGAAGAUUUCCGAAUGGGGAAACCCACCAUACGUAAUGGUAUGGUAUCCUUAUCUGAAUACAUAGGAUAAGGAAGACAGACCCAGGGAACUGAAACAUCUAAGUACCUGGAGGAAGAGAAAGCAAAUGCGAUUUCCUGAGUAGCGGCGAGCGAAACGGAACAUAGCCCAAACCAAGAGGCUUGCCUCUUGGGGUUGUAGGACAUUCUAUACGGAGUUACAAAGGAACGAGGUAGACGAAGCGACCUGGAAAGGUCCGUCGUAGAGGGUAACAACCCCGUAGUCGAAACUUCGUUCUCUCUUGAAUGUAUCCUGAGUACGGCGGAACACGUGAAAUUCCGUCGGAAUCUGGGAGGACCAUCUCCCAAGGCUAAAUACUCCCUAGUGAUCGAUAGUGAACCAGUACCGUGAGGGAAAGGUGAAAAGCACCCCGGAAGGGGAGUGAAAGAGAUCCUGAAACCGUGUGCCUACAAAUAGUCAGAGCCCGUUAACGGGUGAUGGCGUGCCUUUUGUAGAAUGAACCGGCGAGUUACGAUCCCGUGCGAGGUUAAGCUGAAGAGGCGGAGCCGCAGCGAAAGCGAGUCUGAAUAGGGCGUUUAGUACGUGGUCGUAGACCCGAAACCAGGUGAUCUACCCAUGUCCAGGGUGAAGUUCAGGUAACACUGAAUGGAGGCCCGAACCCACGCACGUUGAAAAGUGCGGGGAUGAGGUGUGGGUAGCGGAGAAAUUCCAAUCGAACCUGGAGAUAGCUGGUUCUCCCCGAAAUAGCUUUAGGGCUAGCCUUAAGUGUAAGAGUCUUGGAGGUAGAGCACUGAUUGGACUAGGGGUCCUCAUCGGAUUACCGAAUUCAGUCAAACUCCGAAUGCCAAUGACUUAUCCUUAGGAGUCAGACUGCGAGUGAUAAGAUCCGUAGUCAAAAGGGAAACAGCCCAGACCGCCAGCUAAGGUCCCAAAGUGUGUAUUAAGUGGAAAAGGAUGUGGAGUUGCUUAGACAACUAGGAUGUUGGCUUAGAAGCAGCCACCAUUUAAAGAGUGCGUAAUAGCUCACUAGUCGAGUGACUCUGCGCCGAAAAUGUACCGGGGCUAAAUACACCACCGAAGCUGCGGAUUGAUACCAAUGGUAUCAGUGGUAGGGGAGCGUUCUAAGGACAGUGAAGUCAGACCGGAAGGACUGGUGGAGUGCUUAGAAGUGAGAAUGCCGGUAUGAGUAGCGAAAGACGGGUGAGAAUCCCGUCCACCGAAUGCCUAAGGUUUCCUGAGGAAGGCUCGUCCGCUCAGGGUUAGUCAGGACCUAAGCCGAGGCCGACAGGCGUAGGCGAUGGACAACAGGUUGAUAUUCCUGUACCACCUCUUUAUCGUUUGAGCAAUGGAGGGACGCAGAAGGAUAGAAGAAGCGUGCGAUUGGUUGUGCACGUCCAAGCAGUUAGGCUGAUAAGUAGGCAAAUCCGCUUAUCGUGAAGGCUGAGCUGUGAUGGGGAAGCUCCUUAUGGAGCGAAGUCUUUGAUUCCCCGCUGCCAAGAAAAGCUUCUAGCGAGAUAAAAGGUGCCUGUACCGCAAACCGACACAGGUAGGCGAGGAGAGAAUCCUAAGGUGUGCGAGAGAACUCUGGUUAAGGAACUCGGCAAAAUGACCCCGUAACUUCGGGAGAAGGGGUGCUUUCUUAACGGAAAGCCGCAGUGAAUAGGCCCAAGCGACUGUUUAGCAAAAACACAGCUCUCUGCGAAGCCGUAAGGCGAAGUAUAGGGGGUGACACCUGCCCGGUGCUGGAAGGUUAAGGAGAGGGGUUAGCGUAAGCGAAGCUCUGAACUGAAGCCCCAGUAAACGGCGGCCGUAACUAUAACGGUCCUAAGGUAGCGAAAUUCCUUGUCGGGUAAGUUCCGACCCGCACGAAAGGUGUAACGAUUUGGGCACUGUCUCAACCAGAGACUCGGUGAAAUUAUAGUACCUGUGAAGAUGCAGGUUACCCGCGACAGGACGGAAAGACCCCGUGGAGCUUUACUGUAGCCUGAUAUUGAAUUUUGGUACAGUUUGUACAGGAUAGGCGGGAGCCUUUGAAACCGGAGCGCUAGCUUCGGUGGAGGCGCUGGUGGGAUACCGCCCUGACUGUAUUGAAAUUCUAACCUACGGGUCUUAUCGACCCGGGAGACAGUGUCAGGUGGGCAGUUUGACUGGGGCGGUCGCCUCCUAAAGUGUAACGGAGGCGCCCAAAGGUUCCCUCAGAAUGGUUGGAAAUCAUUCGUAGAGUGCAAAGGCAUAAGGGAGCUUGACUGCGAGACCUACAAGUCGAGCAGGGACGAAAGUCGGGCUUAGUGAUCCGGUGGUUCCGCAUGGAAGGGCCAUCGCUCAACGGAUAAAAGCUACCCCGGGGAUAACAGGCUUAUCUCCCCCAAGAGUCCACAUCGACGGGGAGGUUUGGCACCUCGAUGUCGGCUCAUCGCAUCCUGGGGCUGUAGUCGGUCCCAAGGGUUGGGCUGUUCGCCCAUUAAAGCGGUACGCGAGCUGGGUUCAGAACGUCGUGAGACAGUUCGGUCCCUAUCCGUCGUGGGCGUAGGAAAUUUGAGAGGAGCUGUCCUUAGUACGAGAGGACCGGGAUGGACGCACCGCUGGUGUACCAGUUGUUCUGCCAAGGGCAUAGCUGGGUAGCUAUGUGCGGAAGGGAUAAGUGCUGAAAGCAUCUAAGCAUGAAGCCCCCUCAAGAUGAGAUUUCCCAUAGCGUAAGCUAGUAAGAUCCCUGAAAGAUGAUCAGGUUGAUAGGUUCGAGGUGGAAGCAUGGUGACAUGUGGAGCUGACGAAUACUAAUAGAUCGAGGACUUAACCAU